UGGGGAAUAUUGCACAAUGGGCGCAAGCCUGAUGCAGCCAUGCCGCGUGUGUGAAGAAGGCCUUCGGGUUGUAAAGCACUUUCAGCGAGGAGGAAGGUGGUGAGCUUAAUACGCUCAUCAAUUGACGUUACUCGCAGAAGAAGCACCGGCUAACUCCGUGCCAGCAGCCGCGGUAAUACGGAGGGUGCAAGCGUUAAUCGGAAUUACUGGGCGUAAAGCGCACGCAGGCGGUUUGUUAAGUCAGAUGUGAAAUCCCCGGGCUCAACCUGGGAACUGCAUUUGAAACUGGCAAGCUAGAGUCUCGUAGAGGGGGGUAGAAUUCCAGGUGUAGCGGUGAAAUGCGUAGAGAUCUGGAGGAAUACCGGUGGCGAAAGGCGGCCCCCCUGGACGAAGACUGACGCUCAGGUGCGAAAAGCGUGGGGAGCAAAACAGGAUUAGAUACCCUGGUAGUCCACGCUGUAAAACGAUGUCGAUUUUGGAGGUUGUGCCCCUUGAGGCGUGGCUUCCGGAGCUAACGCGUUAAAUCGACCGCCUGGGGAGUACGGCCGCAAGGUUAAAAACUUAAAG
rnacentral:rRNA from 1 species